UAAAGUGUUUUUUUCCUACAGUCUCAUAUACUAAGCGAAGCUUUUUACAGGAAAAGGAUUCUUCUUUCGAAUGGAGCUGCAGCGAAUCGUGAAAGUUUCUUUGAAACUCGGCGAGAAGAAUAACGGAAAUCGUAACGACUCGUUGCUCCAUGAGCAACGAUAACGGUAACGGGCGAGUUAUACAAAUCACGAUAUUUACGUCAAACGAGAACACGAUGAUGCUGAAUAGAAAACGCUGCCCGCUAUUUUUUCCCAUAGACCGCACUACCACCGUCGAUUACGGCUUCGCGUCUUCUCUACUGGAAACUUUCGCUCCAUCGAUCGUUAAAUCAAAUCGCCGGAUCGCUCGCGACGCCUGCCAAUUAGCAUAAUUAGCGACACGAGCGAUUUAACGAAGGCGAGAACGAGGCGAGAAAAAUGAGACUCUUUCCCCUGCGGUCGUUCGCGCCGCCGAAGGCAGAAGCGUUAAAUUUGCGGUUUGCGGAAUGCAGCGCGCCGGUAACAACAAUGCGAACACGCGCUAACGACAUCGCUCUUAUUAAUAGCAACGUAAAUAAAACAGUCGCAUAAACGCGCGCGCACGGACGCUGCAAUUUACACAAAUAACUCCCCGAUAUCGGUAUUUUUCAGCGAGAGAGAGAGAGAGAGAGAGAAAGAGAGAAAGAGAGAGAGCUGCUUCGCAACAAGCAUUCAAGAGCCGACGGAAAAUCUGUUAUCAGCUCGUCACGCGGUUAAUGUGUUCCCUGCUUCUACUUGACGCAACGAGAGAGCUGUUAUCAGAAUUGAAUAAUAUUGAUUCGCCUUAUCAAGCGUCAGUUACGCGCACGCUCUCACGCAGAACUCCACCCACUGUCGUAAUAUUCGAGUCACUUGUUGCGAACACUGGCUGACCGUUUAAUAAGACCGCUUCGCGGGGAUCGAACCGAUUAAAUGAGCAGAACGGGAGGGAGAGAGGAAAAGAAAAAGCGCGAGUUGAUGGGAAAGUCGGUGAAAAAGAAUGAAACCGAAACGAACGCGAGCCUGACGGAAAAUGUCAGCUGGCCGGUCAAAUUCGAGAAGAGAGGAGAAAGAAAGCUGAAUACUCAUACUGAAAGCAUUCAAUUGUACUGAAAAAUAAAAAAAAAACAUUUA
rnacentral:lncRNA from 1 species